AGCGAACGCUGGCGGCAGGCUUAACACAUGCAAGUCGAGCGGUCCUUCGGGAUAGUGGCGGACGGGUGAGUAACACGUGGGAACGUACCCUUAGGUUCGGAACAACACAGGGAAACUUGUGCUAAUACCGGAUAAGCCCUUCGGGGGAAAGAUUUAUCGCCUUUGGAGCGGCCCGCGUCUGAUUAGCUCGUUGGUGAGGUAAUGGCUCACCAAGGCUACGAUCAGUAGCUGGUCUGAGAGGAUGGCCAGCCACACUGGGACUGAGACACGGCCCAGACUCCGACGGGAGGCAGCAGUGGGGAAUCUUGCGCAAUGGGCGAAAGCCUGACGCAGCCGUGCCGCGUGGAUGAUGAAGGUCUUAGGAUUGUAAAAUCCUUUCACCGGGAACGAUAAUGACGGUACCCGGAGAAGAAGCCCCGGCUAACUUCGUGCCAGCAGCCGCGGUAA
rnacentral:rRNA from 1 species